AGAAUCUUCCAUCCUGUGGGGAAGAAUCUAUUAGCUUGGCUUCUGGUUGGGACAAUAUUGGUGAGAGGGAUCAUGGUGUGAAAUGGCUCUGUGAUGCAUGGAGAAGAAACAAAAUGUCACGUCUGAGGUGUAUUCCCAUUUGACUCUUUUGACUCCUUGAACUAAAUCCUCUCUAGAUUAAGAUUAGGAAGCUGAUUCAGAGACAUCGGAGUCUGCCAAGAGGACUCUGCCGGUGCCAUGAACCGCCUUCUUCUCUCCCAGUGCGCCAUGCAAAGUACAGGACAAGACAAAUUUUCAAGGGAGGCACCUCUCAGUUUGGACCAGCCACAUGUUAAAUGCUCAACAUCCUCCCAUGGCUCGUGCCUACUGGACUGGGCAAUGCAGCUUUACCAACACGUGGUGCCUAAUCACACAGGUAAAUAGGUUCCAGUGGAAAUAAGCACUUGGGAAGGGUUUGGGGAUGCUAAGGUGAGACUCGAGUGUUGAGUUGGAGUUAGGCAGGUGUGAAGGAAGAUAAGAGUACUCCACGCAAAAGGAAUGGCUUGUGGGACAACUCUGAGUUGAAAAGAGGAGUGAAAUUUGUGCGUGAGGGGGAAAUGACAGCAUAAAGAACAGAAGGUGAGAAAUCACCCAGA